UACAGAGGUCUCAAGCGUUGUUCGGAUUCAUUGGGCGUAAAGGGUGCGUAGGUGGCGGGGUAAGUCAGGUGUGAAAUCUCGGAGCUCAACUCCGAAACUGCACUUGAUACUGCCUUGCUCGAGUACUGGAGAGGAGAUUGGAAUUUACGGUGUAGCAGUGAAAUGCGUAGAUAUCGUAAGGAAGACCAGUGGCGAAGGCGAAUCUCUGGACAGUUACUGACGCUGAGACGCGAAAGCGUGGGGAGCGAACAGG
rnacentral:rRNA from 1 species